AUUGAACGCUGGCGGCAGGCCUAACACAUGCAAGUCGAACGAGUGGCGGACGGGUGAGUAAUGUCUGGGACACUGCCCGAUGGAGGGGGAUAACUACUGGAAACGGUAGCUAAUACCGCAUACCAUCUGAUGUGCCCAGAUGGGAUUAGCUAGUAUGUUGGGUAACGUCUCACCUAGGCGACGAUCCCUAGCUGGUCGGAGAGGAUGACCAGACACCCUGGAACGGAGACACGGCCCAGACUCAUACGCGAGGCAGCAGUGGGGAAAGUAGCACAAUGGGCGGAAGCCUGAUGCAGACAUGCCGCGUGUAGGAAGAGGGCAUGCGGGUUGUAAAGUAAUUUCAGCGAGGAGGCGGUACUCUAAGAAGAAGCAUCGGCUAACUCCGUGCCAGCAGCCGCGGUAAUAC
rnacentral:rRNA from 1 species